AAAUUUAGGUUAACUAUAAACCAAGGACCUUCAAAGCCCUAAAUAGGUUUUCCCCUAAUUUCUG
rnacentral:tRNA from 1 species